UUAAAUUGAAGAGUUUGAUCAUGGCUCAGAUUGAACGCUGGCGGCAGGCCUAACACAUGCAAGUCGAACGGUAACAGGGAACAGCUUGCUGUUUCGCUGACGAGUGGCGGACGGGUGAGUAAUGUCUGGGAAACUGCC
rnacentral:rRNA from 1 species